rnacentral:lncRNA from 1 species
CCAGAGGAAAUGCACUGCCUUGUAAAUAUGUGAUUAGACCACCCACUGAAUGUCUUUGGUUUCCCUGGAAGAAAAUAACUCAUUAAUGUUAAACAGUCCCCAGAAAGAAAGAGAAAAAGGCUGUAAGAGUCUUUGUAGAAGAGGUGACACAUCAGUGGAGCUGGGGUAAAUUGAUCUGAAUUUUGGAUGACAGCUUGUUUUCAUCUUUCAUAGGAAGUAGCAAAAGACUCAUAAAGUGUUUGCAUCUCUGAUAGGGGACCCAUGCUCUCUGCUAAGGUUUGCCAGCAGCUCACCUGCUGACAUUGAAGUUUUGCUCCUUCUCAACAGCCCUUCUCCUCUCCCCUUCCUUUCCUUCUGCCUCUCCUAGAUCGUGUGAUUACACCUACAGAUGAAGACCGCAGGAGGAUCAUUAAGCAGAUGAAGGUUCGCACCACCCUGAAGGGAGAUAAGAGCUGGAUUCACCACCAGAAUUCAGACUCCGAGGAUGAAAAGAAGAGCAGCCCGCUGUCUGGGCGAACUGGUGGGGGAUCCACAACCUCAGCACCCAUUGCUCUCCAGAGUGAGAGGUAAUGUGGGGCACCCAUCCCAUUGCUUCCUCUUUAUCUCAUUGCAUCACUGCAUGUUUUCACCUGGUCUUCUUACUCUAACCCAUUCACUUCCAUUAUUGUGUUGAAAAAAUAUAGUUCUUGAGAAAAGCCUACAUUGUUCAGUAUGAUGUCUCACCAACCAUCACUUCAUACAGAGCAUAGCUUAGGUCCUGCAAAGUCUAGAUGGAGAGAUGUGAGUCUAGAUGGAUCAGUAUCUUCACUGCAGAGGAAUGGAUGAUUUCAAGGCCAUGAUCCCAAAGUUUAAUGGUGCACAUCUACUCCUGUACUGGAGUAACAUCUGUAUGCUCUAAGCCUGAAAUUCUCAGAGCAAGAGCUCUGUAAUGGAACUGAAUUUGCUUCAGGUCCAGAUCAUGAGAACUUUUAAGGAACGCAGGAGCUUAUAGCACUGCCCUUUUGCUGUGCCAGAAGCUUUCAAUUAAAGCUCAGUGCAGAGGGAGCCACUAGGCAAUGGGGCUGAGAUGGGCUACAGACUGCUGGUGCCUGCUCUGAGGACACUGCAGAAACAGGAGCUUGG